rnacentral:rRNA from 1 species
UACGGAGGGUGCAAGCGUUAUCCGGAUUCGACUGGGUUUAAAGGGUGCGUAGGUGGGUUGGUAAGUCAGUGGUGAAAUCUCCAGGCUUAACUUGGAAACUGCCAUUGAUACUAUCAAAUCUUGAAUACCGGUGGAGGCAGCGGAAUAUGUCAUGUAGCGGUGAAAUGCUUAGAUAUGACAUAGAACACCAAUUGCGAAGGCAGCUGGCUACACGAAUAUUACACUGAUGCAGAAAGCGUGGGGAUCAAACAGG